rnacentral:misc_RNA from 1 species
UGGUUCUGGCAUCGAUGAAGAACGCAGCGAAAUGCGAUAAGUAAUGUGAAUUGCAGAAUUCAGUGAAUCAUCGAAUCUUUGAACGCACAUUGCGCCUAAUAGUAUUCUGUUAGGCAUGCCUGUUCGAGCGUCAUUUCAACCCCCAAGCCCUAUUUUUGCUUGACGUUGGGAAUUUACGGAGACGUAAUUCCUUAAAUAUAGUGGCGGAGCUAGGUCUUGCUCUAAGCGUAGUAAUUAUAUUCUCGCUUCUGUAGCCGGCCUGCCUCCUGCCGUAAAACCCCCUAUAUUUUAUACUGGUUGACCUCGGAUCAGGUAGGAAUACCCGCUGA